rnacentral:rRNA from 1 species
UACGAAGGGUGCAAACGUUGCUCGGAAUUAUUGGGCGUAAAGCGCGUGUAGGCGGCAUGGCAAGUCGGGUGUGAAAGCCCUCAGCUUAACUGAGGAAGUGCGCCCGAAACUGCUUUGCUUGAGUGCCGGAGAGGAUGGCGGAAUUCCCCAAGUAGAGGUGAAAUUCGUAGAUAUGGGGAGGAACACCGGUGGCGAAGGCGGCCAUCUGGACGGUAACUGACGCUGAGACGCGAAAGCGUGGGUAGCAAACAGG